CCCUACGGGGGGCAGCAGUGGGGAAUAUUGCACAAUGGGGGGAACCCUGAUGCAGCGACGCCGCGUGGGUGAAGGAGUACUUCGGUACGUAAAGCCCUAUCAGCAGGAAAGAAAAUGACGGUACCUGACUAAGAAGCCCCGGCUAACUACGUGCCAGCAGCCGCGGUAAUACGUAGGGGGCAAGCGUUAUCCGGAUUUACUGGGUGUAAAGGGAGCGUAGGCGGCACGGCAAGCCGGCGGUCAAAUCGCGGGGCUCAACCCCGCCCAGCCGUCGGAACUGCCGGGCUAGAGUGGGCGAGAAGUGC
rnacentral:rRNA from 1 species